rnacentral:rRNA from 1 species
GAUGAACGCUAGCGGCAGGCCUAACACAUGCAAGUCGAGGGGUAACUAGAGUGAUAGCAAUAUUACUUUGGCUAGACCGGCGCACGGGUGCGUAACACGUAUGCAACCUACCUUAUACUGGGGAAUAACUUCGAGAAAUCGGCGCUAAUACCCCAUAACAUUGCGAAGAGGCAUCACUUUGCAAUUAAAGCUCCGGCGGUAUAAGAUGGGGAUGCGUCCAAUUAGCUAGUUGGUGAGGUAACGGCUCACCAAGGCUACGAUUGGUAGGGGUUCUGAGAGGAUGAUCCCCCACACUGGUACUGAGACACGGACCAGACUCCUACGGGAGGCAGCAGUGAGGAAUAUUGCGCAAUGGACGAAAGUCUGACGCAGCCAUGCCGCGUGCAGGAUGACGGCCCUAUGGGUUGUAAACUGCUUUUGUACGGGAAUAAACCCUUCUACGUGUAGGAGGCUGAAGGUACCGUAAGAAUAAGCACCGGCUAACUCCGUGCCAGCAGCCGCCGUAA